rnacentral:rRNA from 1 species
AUUGAACGCUGGCGACAGGCCUAACACAUGCAAGUCGAACGAAGCCUUCGGGCUUAGUGGCGGACGGGUGAGUAACACGUGGGAACGUACCUUUUGGUUCGGAAUAACGCAGAGAAAUUUGCGCUAAUACCGAAUGAGCCCUUCGGGGGAAAGAUUUAUCGCCGAAGGAUCGGCCCGCGUUGGAUUAGGUAGUUGGUGUGGUAAAGGCGCACCAAGCCUACGAUCCAUAGCUGGUCUGAGAGGAUGAUCAGCCACACUGGGACUGAGACACGGCCCAGACUCCUACGGGAGGCAGCAGUGGGGAAUCUUGCGCAAUGGGCGAAAGCCUGACGCAGCCAUGCCGCGUGAAUGAUGAAGGUCUUAGGAUUGUAAAAUUCUUUUACCAGGGACGAUAAUGACGGUACCUGGAGAAAAAGCCCCGGCUAACUUCGUGCCAGCCGCCGCAGUAA